rnacentral:rRNA from 1 species
CCUACGGGAGGCUGCAGUGGGGAAUAUUGGACAAUGGGGGCAACCCUGAUCCAGCCAUGCCGCGUGUGUGAAGAAGGCCCUCGGGUUGUGAAGCACUUUCAGUGAGGAAGAACGCCUGGUGGUUAAUACCCAUCAGGAAAGACAUCACUCACAGAAGAAGCACCGGCUAACUCCGUGCCAGCAGCCGCGGUAAUACGGAGGGUGCGAGCGUUAAUCGGAAUUACUGGGCGUAAAGCGCGCGUAGGUGGCUUGAUAAGCCGGUUGUGAAAGCCCCGGGCUCAACCUGGGAACGGCAUCCGGAACUGUCAAGCUAGAGUGCAGGAGAGGAAGGUAGAAUUCCCGGUGUAGCGGUGAAAUGCGUAGAGAUCGGGAGGAAUACCAGUGGCGAAGGCGGCCUUCUGGACUGACACUGACACUGAGGUGCGAAAGCGUGGGUAGCAAACAGGAUUAGAUACCCCUGUAGUC